rnacentral:rRNA from 1 species
UUAAGAAUCUUGGACAAUGGACGCAAGUCUGAUCCAGCGACGCCGCGUGAACGAUGAAGGUCUUUGGAUUGUAAAGUUCAGUAAGAUGGGACGAAGAAGCUGAAGGUAAUAUUUUCAGUGGUGACGGUACCAUCCUAAAGCCUCGGCUAAAUACGUGCCAGCAGCCGCGGUAAUACGUAUGAGGCAAGCGUUGUUCGGAAUUAUUGGGCGUAAAGGGCAAGUAGGCGGCAUAACAAGUCAGUUGUGACAGAUCCCGGCUCAACUGGGAGAGGACGAAUGAGACUGUUAAGCUAGAGGACAGGAGAGGGGAGCGGAAUUCCUUGUGUAGCGGUGGAAUGCUCAGAUACAAGGAAGAACACCAGUGGCGAAGGCGGCUCUCUGGCCUGAUCCUGACGCUGAAGAGCGAAAGCUAGGGGAGCGAACG